rnacentral:rRNA from 1 species
UACGGAGGGGUGCAAGCGUUAUCCGGAUUCACUGGGUUUAAAGGGUGCGUAAGGCGGACAGGUAAGUCAGUGGUGAAAUUCUCGUGGGACUUCAACUCAGAAACUGCCGUUGAUACUAUUUGUCUGAAUAUUCUGGGAGGUAAGCGGAAUAUGUCAUGUAGGCGGAUGAAAUGCUUAGAUAUGACAUAGAACACCGAUAGCGGAAGGCAGCUUGCUACAGAAUGAUUGACGGCUGGAGGCACGAAAGCGUGGGGAGCAAACAGG